rnacentral:rRNA from 1 species
GAUGUGGAUUAAUUCGAUGCAACGCGAAAAACCUUACCUACCCUUGACAUGUACGGAAUCCUGCUGAGAGGUGGGAGUGCUCGAAAGAGAACCGUAACACAGGUGCUGCAUGGCUGUCGUCAGCUCGUGUCGUGAGAUGUUGGGUUAAGUCCCGCAACGAGCGCAACCCUUGUCCUUAGUUGCUACGCAAGAGCACUCUAGGGAGACUGCCGGUGACAAACCGGAGGAAGGUGGGGAUGACGUCAAGUCCUCAUGGCCCUUAUGGGUAGGGCUUCACACGUCAUACAAUGGUCGGUACAGAGGGCUGCCAAACCGCGAGGUGGAGCUAACCCCAGAAAACCGAUCGUAGUCCGGAUCGCAGUCUGCAACUCGACUGCGUGAAGCUGGAAUCGCUAGUAAUCGCGGAUCAGCAUGUCGCGGUGAAUACGUUCCCGGGUCUUGUACACACCGCCCGUCACACCAUGGGAGUGGGUUUUGCCAGAAGUAGGUAGCCUAACCGUAAGGAGGGCGCUUACCACGGCAGGAUUCAUGACUGGGGUGAAGUCG